rnacentral:rRNA from 1 species
AUGGCGCCCGGGCCACUUAACCCUGUGACGGUCAUGGAGCAGUGCCAGGUCUCGCCGUCGCCGUUGCCAUCGCCGUUGCCACCGGCCGUGAAGCCACAGACACUGCCGCUCACCUUCUUCGACCUCGUCUUCUGGGACGUCCCGCCCGUGCAGCGCCUCUUCUUCUACGACAACGCCGACCCCCUCGGCGCACCCGAGUUCCUCCUCCACGAGCUGCGCCUGUUCGAGAAGUCCCUGGCCGCCGCGCUGCACCACUUCUAUCCCUUGGCCGGGACGCUGGUGUGCAGCAUACCGGAGGCCGGGGCGCCCGAGGUCGUGUUCUCGGACGGCGACUCUGUCCGCCUCACGGUUGCGGUCGGCGGCGAUGACUUCCAGGACCUCGCCGGCGACCACGCGCGCGACACCGCGAGGCUCCGUCCGCUGCUGCCUUCGCUGCCGAGACACGGCGGCGGCGGCGGCUCUCGAUGCAGAACUCAGGACGUAUUUGCCGUCCAGCUCACCGUGUUCCCUCACGCCGGUUUGUGCAUUGGCACGACGCUGCACCACGCCGUGGCCGACGGUUCCAGCUACGUGCACUUCAUGAGGACGUGGGCCGCCAUCCACCGCCUCGGCCCCGGGUGCGGCGGGAAGUGGGCCGCGGUGGACGCGCCCCCGCUGCUCGACCGCAGCGUCGUGCGAGACGAGAACGGGCUCCGCGAGGUGUUUCUCCGCGACCACCGGGCUCACGAGGCGGCCGGCGGCAAGCGGCUCCACGGCUGGGACCUCGGUCAACGUCCGGGCGCCGCUGGCCUCGCGACGUUCCGGUUCACGGAGAAGCUGCUCCGUGGGCUCGGAAGGCAGGUGGAGUCGGAGACCACGGCGCGGCGGUUCGCCCUACGCGCUGGCUUUCGGUGCUGUCUGGACAGGCAUCGUGCACGCGCGCGGCAGCAGCGCCAGCUUCGGGGUUCGUGA